GAUGAACGCUGGCGGCGUGCCUAAUACAUGCAAGUCGAGCGAACAGACGAGGAGCUUGCUCCUCUGACGUUAGCGGCGGACGGGUGUGUAACAUGUGGAUAACCCACCUAUAAGACUGGGAUCACCUCGGGAAACCGGAUCAUAUACCGGAUAAUAUAUUGAACCGCAUGGUGCAAUAGUGAAAGACGGUUUUGCUGUCACUUAUAGAUGGAUCCGCGCUGCAUUAGAUAGUUGGUAGGGUAACGGCUUACCAAGGCAACGAUGCGUAGCCGACCGCAGAGAGGGGUCGGCGGCACGGGAACGUGGACGCCGUCCAGGCUCCUACGGGAGGCAGCAGUAGGGAAUGUUCCGCAGUAGGCGAAAGCCUUGCGGAGCGACGCCGCGUGAGAGAUAGAGGUCUUCGGAUCGUAAAGCUCUGUUAUUAGGGAAGAACAAAUGUGUAAGUAACUAUGCACGUCUUGACGGUACCUGAUCAGAAAGCCACGGCUAACUACGUG
rnacentral:rRNA from 1 species